AACUACACAUUGUUAGGAUUUGGUUAGAUUUGUAAUUGAAUCCUAUUUGGAUUAGAAUUAAUAUUUAAAUCUGUUGGAGAUAAAUUAAGAUUUAAAUAUUAAUUAGAGGAUAAACCUAACUAGAUUAGGAUUAAUAUUUAAAUCUACUAGAGAUUAAUUAAGAUAGAUUUAGAUAUUAAUUGGAGUAGAAAUUCUAAAUAUACUAGAAUUGGGUACAUUCUAGUUGGGGCAUUAUAAAUAAUGCAUUGGGUAAAUUAAUUUGGGGAAGCUGUGAGGGUGUACGGCAGGAGCUUGUGUGGUGCCGUACCCGAGAGAGAGAAAAAGAGAGAGAGAGUUAUCCAAUGUGUUGAGUGCACCUAGUGCAUGGGUGCGCGUGGAUGAUUGUCUUCUUUGUGGAAUUAUAGAAGACGAGAGAAGGGUAGAAGAGAUUCAAGAAAGAGGGCUCGGGUUGUAGCUACUCUGUGCAGAAGAGGAGUCAGGUGUAAUCUUUUCUUAUUUAAUAAAUCUUAUUUUACCUGCAUAUUUUUCUCUUUUAUGAUUGUAUCAGCUUUUGCUGAGGAGACGGGUUUAUGGUAAAAAUCCGAUUUGACGUUUCCGUUGCGGAAUCCCAACCAUCGGUACCGGAUUCACAGCAGUCGGUAUCGGAGCGGGUUGCGGAUUCACAAGAUCCGGUACCGGGGCGAGUACCGGAUUCCCAACAAAACUACAGGGGGCAAAUUGAAGUUUACCUAAUUAAAAAAAAAUAAAAAUAUUUUACUGUACCUAUUUUUCAGGAUCUGCUGACCAAGAUCGGUAUCUUCUGUUCUGUCGGAUCAGAGUCAGUAAUUAAUUAAAUAUUAAAACAAAAAAUAAUUAAAUAACAAAAUAAUAAAUAAUAACCAAGUUAAUAUAAUAAUAUUAAUUAAGUAAUUAAUUAAUUAAAUUCCAACAACCAAUCACAU
rnacentral:lncRNA from 1 species